ensembl:lncRNA
GCGCUGCGUUACUCUGCCUCGCCUCUCCUUCACUGAACACAACUGCCCCUCCCCCAUCGCUUCACCUGCAGGCAACGACAAGAUGGACACGGCAGCUAUCAAAGAGGAGCUGGCAGGUGUGUGUGUGGGUGCGGCUGUGACAGGCACCUUCAGGCGUGGUGGGUGUGCCCCUGCCAGGUGACUGGCCACACCUGAAGAUCAUCAGACACACCUGGAGCUGAUCAAGCCUCGUCGGGGAGCUACUUAACAGUGUGGCUGAGCGCUCCUCGACGCUGGAUCGUUGCGUGAGACUUCCCCAGGAGUACGGAAGCGCAAGGGCAUAGGAAGACACAGACACUAAAUACAAGAGGGAAACACGGCAAAGAGGAAACACCUGGGAAACACGGCUGGCGCUAAUUACACUGACAAAACAUGGAAGAGCAAAACAGAACAUGACCCACACCGACGAGAGACUAUCAAAGUAAAACAGGAAGAACACAGAGGACUAGAGGAACAGACAGAUGUACAUGAAGACAAGGCUGACCUAAAAAGGGGAGGAAUCACAGACUAUAAAUACAGAAUAAAUUCAGGAGUAUAAUCAUACUGGGCUAAGAAAUAGAAAAAACAGAGAGAACCUGAUAAACAAACAAGACUCGAAGAACCAAAAGACAAGAGACUCGUAUUACUGGGUCAAAAUGACCCAGAACUGAAAAUUUUUUAAAAUCUGUUACUGUGUCACAUUUAACCUCCCAGGACGCGGCGUCCACAUAUGUGCACAUCACAUUUUGGAUUGUUUAGACCAAAAUACUAAAUUUUGCUCUACAAGGGCCUGAUAUCCACUUACGAGGACGUUAUAUUGUCACUGUUCUAUUGAAAUUUAAACCGAAUGUCCUCAUAUGUGGAUCUCAUUUUUCUCAGAAACAAAAAUUAGGUUAAAAAGAAUCAGGUAAUUCUUUGUUUUUACAUUCAUCAGGUCCCAAUCAGCCCAAAUAGCAAGGAGAAAUUAAAAAUGCAUCCCAUGAAAGAGUUCAGGUCUUAGGAGGUUAAAUUAAAGACUUUCAAAAAUCAAUUUUCUCACAGUCAAUAUUUGAUAUGUUGUCUUUUUCGUAGUUUCAGUUCUGUUUGGGAUUUAACUGUAAAUCACUCCAUUCUGCUUCUUUUCAGACUUUAAUCAUCAUGUCAGCUUUUUUCUUUUGGAAAUGGGACUGUGUUUAAAAUUUGUGUGUUCAGAUCUGCAUAAACAACUAAAUAGCUCAAAUAUAGUAACUAAAACUGAUAAAGAAUACAGACAGGGAGGAUUCAAAUAAAUAUGAAAUGUUGGACUGAGUUUUUUUUUUUUUUACAGGUUUUCACAGAAGCUUUGACUUGAGGCUUAUCUACCUUAAAUCCUA